UGGGGAAUAUUGGACAAUGGGCGGAAGCCUGAUCCAGCAACGCCGCGUGAGGGAUGACGGCCUUCGGGUUGUAAACCUCUUUCAGUACCGACGAAGCGAAAGUGACGGUAGGUACAGAAGAAGGACCGGCCAACUACGUGCCAGCAGCCGCGGUAAUACGUAGGGUCCGAGCGUUGUCCGGAAUUAUUGGGCGUAAAGGGCUCGUAGGCGGUUUGUCGCGUCGGGAGUGAAAACAGCGGGCUUAACUCGUUGCUUGCUUUCGAUACGGGCAGACUAGAGGUAUGCAGGGGAGAAUGGAAUUCCUGGUGUAGUGGUGAAAUGCGCAGAUAUCAGGAGGAACACCGGUGGCGAAGGCGGUUCUCUGGGCAUUACCUGACGCUGAGGAGCGAAAGUGUGGGGAGCGAACAGGAUUAGAUACCCUGGUAGUCCACACCGUAAACGUUGGGCGCUAGGUGUGGGGUCCUUUCCACGGAUUCCGUGCCGUAGCUAACGCAUUAAGCGCCCCGCCUGGGGAGUACGGCCGCAAGGCUAAAAACUUAAAUGAAUUGACGGGGUCAUAGCUGUUUCCUG
rnacentral:rRNA from 1 species